rnacentral:rRNA from 1 species
AUUGAACGCUGGCGGCAUGCUUUACACAUGCAAGUCGAACGGCAGCACGGACUUCGGUCUGGUGGCGAGUGGCGAACGGGUGAGUAAUACAUCGGAACGUACCCAGUAAUGGGGGAUAACUAUCCGAAAGGAUAGCUAGUACCGCAUACGCCCUACGGGGGAAAGAGGGGGAUCGCAAGACCUCCUGUUAUUGGAGCGGCCGAUGGCUGAUUAGCUAGUAGGUAGGGUAAAGGCCUACCAAGGCAACGAUCAGCAGCGGGUCUUAGAGGACGAUCCGCCACACUGGAACUGAGACACGGUCCAGACUCCUACGGGAGGCAGCAGUGGGGAAUCUUGGACAAUGGGCGCAAGCCUGAUCCAGCAAUGCCGCGUGCGUGAAGAAGGCCUUCGGGUUGUAAAGCGCUUUUGUCAGGGAGCAAAUCCUUGUGGCUAAUACCCACCGGGGAUGAGAGUACCUGAAGAAUAAGGACAGGCUAACUACGUGCCAGCAGCCGCCGUAAGAC